UACGGAGGGGGCUAGCGUUGUUCGGAAUUACUGGGCGUAAAAGCGUACGUAGGCGGCUUUGUAAGUUAGAGGUGAAAGCCCGGAGCUCAACUCCGGAAUUGCCUUUAAGACUGCAUCGCUUGAAUCAUGGAGAGGUGAGUGGAAUUCCGAGUGUAGAGGUGAAAAUUCGUAGAUAUUCGGAAGAAACACCAGUGGCGAAGGCGACUCACUGGACAUGUAUUGACGCUGAGGUACGAAAAGCGUGGGGGAGCAAACAGG
rnacentral:rRNA from 1 species